AAGGAGUUUACUGCAACGAUUUUGUUUUGUAAUUUUUAGAACCUGUAGCUUACAAAAACACAAUGGGUGGUCAACCAAAUUAUUAUCAUAGUGCAGCAAAAAACCUAGAUCACGUCAACGGGCUAUCAACAAUUGAUCAAAAAGUUGGAUUGUGCAUGCUGUGGCCAAGCAUCUCACUAUGUGUUGUAGGCACACUGAAGGGCCCUGGCCAGAGCUGCGCGCCAAUCAGAAGAGAGCCCAGAAGAGCACGCCCUUGAUCAGCACUGAGAUCACUGCUCCUGUCACAGCAGCGGUCUCCAGUGUGUACGCCUUGUCCUGCCCCCAAUGUGUACUGAUCUGAAGUCAGAAGACUGGUCAUUUGAAGUGGAUCUCUGAACCAACCACAUUUCCUCCAAAGACCUGAUUCGGGAUCAGGUCAACCAUUGGCUUUACUCACCAUGUACAUCAGGUACAGGAAGUAGGCUACCUCUGGCACAUUCUAAAACCUGGAACAAAGGAUGGAUAAACCUGUUAUUGCGCCAAACCUGUUUUACAUGAAGUAUGCGCCUCAUAAGUGAAACUCCAGUCUCCUUUUCACCUCUUAACACCUGAUUUACUUAACAAAAGGCACAUCUUAAUAGGUGGUCCAGGUAAGUCAUGACAUUGCACAAGUGUGGGGGGUGGGGCUUUCCUCUUUUGUUCUCUAUAGUGCUUCUAUUGUUCCUCAAGCAAGGGGGGAGGCCGAUAACAUCAUGGAUUCCCAUCAGACCAACUCCUUGAAUGCCCUACUCCUUGAAGUUGCCUAAACACUUUUGCUCAAAAUGUUGUUUUUUUUUAAGUCUUUAGUGGGUGUACUUUACUGUGUAUAUACUUGGAAUCUUUAAAGGUUAACAUUCUUUCCACCACCCUACCUUCUAUUGAGUUCACAUGCUUUAUGCAUAGUAUUGUGUAAUCUUGUAUUGUGAGUUAUUUCUGUACUGUUCUUUACAUACUCACUGUUUAUGCACUUGUAGCUGCUCAUAAUAUUAUGUUCAGUGCACGCACACCAAUGAUUCAUUGUUUUUAUUUUUUAUUCUCUUGAUACUUGUUACUCACAGCUGACAGACAAAUCUCAAAACCAGCCCAAGGUUAAACCAACUACCUAUCCAGUACACCUCCAUCCCAAAUACCCAGGUACCCUGAAGUCAAUCAUAUACAUCUGCACCACAGAUCAAGUCCACACCGCGUUAGAAUGACACCAUCUGUUGGAAGACAAUGGCUAUCGGGUGCCAGAUGUGUUAUGAUUCAUGUGGAAUGCGGCAGUAGUUCAAAUGUAACCAUGGAGGAGCACAGAUUGAGCAGGAAGUACUGCUCCUGGAUGGUCUCCAGAGCUCCGCCCACCCGGCAGACCAUCAUGUUGGGCCUCUGGAGGAGCAGCGUGGCGCACAGGACAUGGGCCACCACGACCACACACAAGAUGCAUACAAACCGCACCUUCCACAAAAGCGCACACACAGGCCUUUUCUUAAUUGCAUACUCCUUGAGUCAUCACUCCUCGUCUCCUCAAAACCUAUUGGAGGAGAAGGUAAGAGGGGCGGUACCUCUGGCUUUCUCAUCCAAUGGGUUUUCAGAAGGAGAUGAGAGGCCAUCGAGUCACAACUGUCGCUACCAAAACAGUAUCUGUGGCAUAAAGACACCACAGUCAUAUAUCUGGUCAUAAUUGAGCCAUGUUCAGUAGGGAGAAACGUUUUGAAACAAGAAGUUACUACCUGAACUUGUCCAAUGAGAGCUCAGAUUGUUAUUUUCCGUUGCAAAACGUUUUGCUAUGGUGUACCGUACUGAACAUGACCCUUUAAAAAGAGGUUGGUUUAAUUUUGUACGUCCAUAUGCAACAUACCACAAGCAAGUUAUUUCUAUCCUGGACUGGAAGCACCAUGAAGUUGACCACAGUGCGCAUCAUGACCAUCAACACACUGAGGACAAACACUAUCAGCUACUGCCUGUUCUCCUACAGGAUGCCCCUUGUGACGUAUUACACAGUCUUUGGUGUUGGUGGCAUAAUCAGGAUUUCACCAUAGCACACAAUGUUGACAUGGGGGAUGAUCUGAGUCGGAGGUUGCAUUUAUUUUCUCUGGACUUUUCAUCAUGUGUUCAUGUCUGCACACUUCUGCUUUCAGGAGGGGCGUAGGUGGCUGUUGAUUAGGUCAUAAGUUUCCAAUCUGUUGUUAUUGCCACUAAUGUAAGUCACGCCACUUACAAAUUCCAACCAGUUGGAUGAGGGAUACAGUGAAGUCGUCCUCAUAGCUGUACUUUGCCUGUAGAUGUUUGUCAGUGUGAGGGCCGGAGUGCCAUCAAAGAGGCGAUGAGGAAGCAGAAGUAAAACUUCAAGCAUGAGAGCUCUGACCAAGGCUUUAUCUCUAGGGUCAAGAGAAAGCAAAGCAUAUUGGCUUUGGUCCCCUCGCCCCUACCCGGGCUCGAACCAGGGACCCUCUGCAAACAUAGACAAUUGACACCCACGAAGCA